UACGUAGGGUGCGAGCGUUGUCCGGAAUUAUUGGGCGUAAAGAGCUCGUAGGUGGCGGGUCACGUCGGGUGUGAAAGCCCGGGGCUUAACUCCGGGUCUGCAUUCGAUACGGGUCUGCUGGGGUCCGGCAGGGGAGACUGGAAUUCCUGGUGUAGCGGUGAAAUGCGCAGAUAUCAGGAGGAACACCAAUGGCGAAGGCAGCUCGCUGGGACGUUACUGACGCUGAGACGCGAAAGCGUGGGGAGCAAACAGG
rnacentral:rRNA from 1 species